rnacentral:tRNA from 1 species
GAGGUUGUGGCUCAGUGGUAGAGCACUUGCCUAGCAUAUAUGAGGCCCUGGGUUUGAUCCUCAGCACCACA